rnacentral:rRNA from 1 species
GACGAACGCUGGCGGCGUGCUUAACGCAUGCAAGUCGAACGGAAAGGCCCUGCUUUUGUGUGGUGCUCGAGUGGCGAACGGGUGAGUAACACGUGAGUAACCUGCCCUUUACUUUGGGAUAACUUCAGGAAACUGGGGCUAAUACCGGAUAGGAGCUCCUGCUGCAUGGUGGUGGUUGGAAAGUUUCGGCUGUUGGGGAUGGACUCGCGGCUUAUUAGCUUGUUGGUGGGGUAGUGGCUUACCAAGGCUUUGACGGGUAGCCGGCCUGAGAGGUGGAUCGGCCACACUGGAACGGAGACACGGUCCAGACUCCUACGGGAGGCAGCAGUAGGGAAUCUUCCGCAAUGGGCGAAAGCCUGACGCAGCAACGCCGCGUGUGUGAUGAAGGUCUUCGGAGCGGAAAGCUCGGUUAUUGGUGAUGAACAGCUGUGGAAUGAGACAUGGCCGUCUUGACGGUACCGAGUCAAAAAGCACCGGCUAACUACGUG